rnacentral:lncRNA from 1 species
CGGAUGAUUUAAAUCAUCGACAUAACAGAACUACUAGCCGACGGUCGCUCAUAGCUUCUACCGAUGUAUGGUCGGUUCUACCGACAUAUGGUCGAUCAGUCAACUCAGAUAUACUAUAACCAUCAUGAACGGUUAUCGACCGCAUAUCACGGUGCAAUCAAUGAAAAUUAACGAUCCACUAUGUGAUUAUAGUCCAAUGAUUUAGCACCAUAAAAUAUGGGACCACAUCCGACGAUUACGAAAAUCUUAUCUAUAAAAGAAGUAAGAAAAAUGGGACUGGUAAGCCAACUCGGGGCCAAAAUUCUGCUGUUGUUUACAUUCAACUCCUGUUCUCCAACUUUCCUCUCUGAUUUAGGCAUCGGAGGAUCCCCGCCGGACAC